rnacentral:rRNA from 1 species
UACGUAGGGUCCGAGCGUUGUCCGGAAUUACUGGGCGUAAAGAGCUCGUAGGUGGUUUGUCGCGUUGUUUCGUGAAAAACUCACAGCUCAACUGUGGGCGUGCGGGGCGAUACGGGGCAGACUUUGAGUACUGCAGGGGGAGACUGGAAAUUCCUGGUGUAGCGGUGAAAAUGCGCAGAUAUCAGGGAGGGAAACACCCGAUGGCGAAAGGCAGGGUCUCUGGGGCCCGA